AUACUUAGUGGCAGACGGGUGAGUAACAUGUGGGCCUUUGCCCUUUGGCCUGGAAUAACACGAGGAAACUUGUGCUAAUACCGGAUACGUCUUUACGGAGAAAGCUUUAUGCACCAUUGGAUGAGCCCGCACUUGAUUAGUUUGUUGGUGGGGUAAUGGCCUACCAAGACUGUGAUCAAUAGCUGAUUUGAGAGGAUGAUCAGCCACAUUGGGACUGAGACACGGCCCAAACUCCUACGGGAGGCAGCAGUGGGGAAUCUUGCACAAUGGAGGAAACUCUGAUGCAGCGAUGCCGCGUGAGUGAAGAAGGCCCUUGGGUUGUAAAGCUCUUUCGUCGGGGAAGAAAAUGACUGUACCCGAAUAAGAAGGUCCGGCUAACUUCGUGCCAGCAGCCGCGGUAAUACGAAGGGACCUAGCGUAGUUCGGAAUUACUGGGCUUAAAGAGUUCGUAGGUGGUUGAAAAAGUUAGUGGUGAAAUCCCAGAGCUUAACUCUGGAACUGCCAUUAAAACUUUUCAGCUAGAGUAUGAUAGAGGAAAGCAGAAUUUCUAGUGUAGAGGUGAAAUUCGUAGAUAUUAGAAAGAAUACCAAUUGCGAAGGCAGCUUUCUGGAUCAUUACUGACACUGAGGAACGAAAGCAUGGGUAGCGAAGAGGAUUAGAUACCCUCGUAGUCCAUGCCGUAAACGAUGUGUGUUAGACGUUGGAAAUUUAUUUUCAGUGUCGCAGCGAAAGCGAUAAACACACCGCCUGGGGAGUACGACCGCAAGGUUAAAACUCAAAUGAAUUGACGGGGACCCGCACAAGUAGUGGAGCAUGUGGUUUAAUUCGAAGAUACGCGCAGAACCUUACCAACACUUGACAUGUUCGUCGCGACUCUAAGAGAUUAGAGUUUUCGGUUCGGCCGGACGAAACACAGGUGCUGCAUGGCUGUCGUCAGCUCGUGUCGUGAGAUGUUGGGUUAAGUCCCGCAACGAGCGCAACCCUCACUUUUAGUUGCCAUCAUUAAGUUGGGCACUCUGAAAGAACUGCCAGUGAUAAGCUGGAGGAAGGUGGGGAUGACGUCAAAUCCUCAUGGCCCUUACGUGUUGGGCUACACACGUGCUACAAUGGUAUCUACAA
rnacentral:rRNA from 1 species